rnacentral:rRNA from 1 species
UACGAAGGGGGCUAGCGUUGCUCGGAAUCACUGGGCGUAAAGGGCGCGUAGGCGGCGUUUUAAGUCGGGGGUGAAAGCCUGUGGCUCAACCACAGAAUGGCCUUCGAUACUGGGACGCUUGAGUAUGGUAGAGGUUGGUGGAACUGCGAGUGUAGAGGUGAAAUUCGUAGAUAUUCGCAAGAACACCGGUGGCGAAGGCGGCCAAACUGGACCAUUACUGACGCUGAGCGCGAAAGCGUGGGGAGGCAAACAGGAUAGAACCCCGGUAGGACCUCAAGAACCGAAUGUACCGUC